UAACAUUAAUAAUUAAUAGAUCAUAUAAUGAUUAGAAUGUAGUGUAACAUCAUUUAUGUAUUCUCUGCUAAUGAUAUUUUAGUCCAUAAACUUAAUACCUCAUGAGAUUUGUCUAGUUUAGGAGAUCUUUGUUUAGCCCUGAAUCCAUAUAUUAAGCUAACAGUGUAAAAUAGUAUUUAAUACGUGUCAUUUAGAAUUCUGUAAACAUCGUAAUCAGUAUUCUAAUAUUAAUUAAACUAAAUAUAAAUAGACUAGGUCAUUAUGAUUAAACUGGAACUGUGUACUCCUAGGAUCCACAAAGCUUACCAAUACAGAAAACUUGAAUAUACUUGUAAGUGUCUGUGUAUUUCUAGUUGUGCGUGUCUAACAACAAAAAUUGACCAAAGUUACAAAAAAAAGACAAAUAAUCACGAUCAAAUAAGUCUACUGAUUACCUAUAUCGAGAUGUAUGUUCUGUCAACAAUUCCACAAAAAAUAAAAGAAACAAAUCAGUGUGAAUUUAACAUUUUUGAGAUAUUCGUGUUUAUAGGAUUGGACUCGCUUAGAAACCUUAAACUUUAUUAUCAGAUUUUGUUGCUAAUAUAAGAAUAACCAAAAGUUUAUUUUUAAUAGCAGCUGUGUUUCAAAUUAAUGAACUUAUGAUGGUACAUGCAGUUCUCUAAUUAGGCUACAGAAUAUAAUUUUACUUGCAGUGGAGGAGGGGACAGAAGUAGUGUUUACGUCACAUUAAGUGUGCUUAUUCAACAGUUAAAAGCAGAGGAAAGAGUUGACGUCUUUCAGGCUGCACGUCACACCCGUUCACAACGUCAGUGUAUGCUCCAAACGAUGAAUCAGUAUGAUUUUCUCUACCGAGGUCUCUUAGACUACGUACAUCAUAACAAGUUGAUAGACGUGGGCGACACUCUACUUUGAAGGCUCAAAAACCCAGGUGAUAUUAGUAGUUACACUGCAACUGAUCUAUUUCUCUAGUGAUCAUAAAAUGAACUUAAAAAGACACAUCUACUUGCAGUGAAUUAAGGAAUUUGUGCCAAGACGAAGAAAAAUUCAUCGGUUAGUGCCUGAAUGCAUGAGAGAAUAAUAAAUCCAGCAUUUCGAAAUACCCAACCACUGAAAAAUAAAACUUCGCAUUCCUCAAUAAACAUGGGUUGGUUUAAACAAACACUGUUGAAAACUUUACUGUACAGCUUUUAGCCCAAUUUCACCGAGAUUCAUAUAGCCUUGGAAACAGGCCUGAUAAUUUCCUUUAUAUGAUUAUGUUGGUUAAGCUAAAAUUUUUAUAUAACGGACAAACUACAGAAGCAAAUCAGUGUUGUGAAAUUUUUCCUUUAUUAAUUUCUCUAAAUCACGGAUCUGUCAUUUUACCCAUUUCUAUCCUGCUGUUUCGAUAAUGCAGGCCUUCUAGUAUCUCAAGUAGUAAAGUAAGAUACCAAUAAUAGUUUCAGUAAGUGCUCUUUAUAAAAAAAUGAGGUUUUUUGAUUAGAUCUUUCUUUUUAUUUUUUUAAGAAGAAAAUUCUUAUUUGUUAUCACGAUUAUGUUCCUGGUUUCUUCGUGAUUGUAAGUUAAAGAGGAGAAUAUAAUAUUUUACUUUGUUUCAUAUCACAUUCUAACUUUAUUGUAGUUUUAACUAUUGCGGUUUGUGACAUACUCCCUCCAUUUUGUCAUAACGGUAAUUACCAUAUCAUAUCAAAGCUGCUUGCAUUAUUACUUGAUAAAUAGUAAUGUCACUUCGGAAUUAACAAAAAAGUUGGUUCUUGUUCUUGCAUCGAGCAUAUAUUAUUUUUUAAAUGCUUUUAACAUAAUAAUCAGUUUUCAAUGUAAACUUGAUCAAAUGAUUUUUUUGUUUUUGUUUUUUCAUUAAAAUUGUUGAAACUACAUAUUUGACAAAUUUAUUCUAGUAGGGUGCUUUAACAUAAUUUAACAAACAUUAAUAUCAUGUAAUAAAUAAAUACAUUGAAAAAUAUACAUACUCAAACUUCAAUACAUUAAUGGGUCAUCAUCUGGUUAGUGAAAAAUUUCGAAGAAGAAAGUAAGUUAUACGUGCACGUAACUUGUUUCGAGAUACAAGUUCAGAAAUGCUUUAAUGUCGUUUAUUUUGCACUUCUGACAAUAGUGAGCAAGUUAUUUCCGAAAGCAUAUGUGCUAUGAGGUUUCUAACUUUGUGAUUCAUUACAUAUUUGUUGUUUUGUAAUAUCAUGAACGUUUACAACAAUGAGUACCAAUAUUAUAAGGAAACGAGUAAGCAAAACAUACAUACUGAAUUACUUUACAGAAAGCUGAAACUUUAUACCUACAUGGAAGAACGUUAAACAAGUAUAUCAUCAUUCAACAAAUCACUUUGUUUCAAAGCAACUCGUGUACAUUUGAGAAUAAGGAAUUACUGUUUCCUAUAAGAAACAUUAAUUUUGAUCUCCGAGAUUAUUGUAAUCGUUUUUUCAUCUAUAAUAUGUAUUUCUUAGCCUUAGAUUUGAAAGUGUGUGUUUUUACAUUCAGAUGAUUAAUUAUAGGAAACAUUACGUAGAAUUAUCAUCUUCUUAAAAUCAUUCAAACAUACCCUUGAUAUUCCACCAUUUCCGAGAGUGCAUUGAUAUAAUAAUGAAGGAUUUUAUCUUCAAAAGUAAACUAGGCAGUGUUAUACAUGUAGUUAUUUUGAUAUAAAAAAAUCAUGAUCCAUGUUUGAGUAUACAUAAACUUAUCUUCUGGGAAUUGUAGAAAGGAAAAAAAAACCCGAAAGUUUCUAAAGUGACGAACUGCUUUUGAAAAGUUUUAUGUUGCUUGGAAUUUAUAUGUACUUCCUUUUGUGAGUGAUAUGUUUUAAUUAUACCACUAUGUUGCAGUGAUUUUUUUUGUAAGCAUGCACUGUUUUGGUUUUUCUGAAUACAUUUAAUUAGAACUAAGUCACAUUGAAGUGUAUGGUUAAAAUUUAUUACUUGUACUUAGAAUGUUUUUAUUCUAUAUUUCUGAUAAUUCUGCCAUGAUGUUUUACUAUGUUGACCAGAAAAAAUAUUCAAGACUUUUUGUUUUCCCCCAUUUAUAAAGUUUUUUUUUUGACCAAAAAGAAAGAAAAUUUCAAAAUUAACUUUAUGUUUACUGAUGCUUUUGUUAGAUGAAGUACAAGAGUACUGUAAAAAUAUAAAUUAUUCCAUCUGAUUGUUGUUAAUGAUACAGGAGGAGUUUGUGUUCAACCCACGGAGAUCAAUUCGUACUUAACUAAAUCUUUCAGGUUACUGAAAUACACAAAUUGAAAUUAUGAAAAUAUUUUGCUUUUAAUUAAAUCAUAUAUAUAUAUAUAUAUAUAUUGCUUCAGUUAUUUAAGUUAUUGGAUUACAAUAAAACAUUCAGAAAUUCCUUGAGCUGUUAUAUUUACUAUAUUAAUUUACAGUUUUUUUAUGUUCUCAAGAGAAUUCUAUGUUUUAAUAUCACUUGGAGUGUGAUAGGUUGAAACUGGGUAUCAAUACAACAUAUUCAUCUUGUAAAUUUGAUUUUAUGUUGGUCAAGUAUUUAAAGCAGUAAUACUGUUUUUUUGUUUUUGGUCAUAAAGUUUAUUUCUAAUCAUGUGUACUCAUUCCCAUGUAAUUUUGUACUUGUUAUUUUUAGUCUGUGUUGUAGUACUUACUCAGUUACCGGUUUACAGCAUGUAGUAACAUAGAAAAAAAAAAGUUUAUUUUUUAUGUUGAAGUAGUGCCCAGUUAUUAACUGAAGUAUGUAAAAUACUGAAAAACAAUUAAAUUUUUAAAAACAGACUGGUUCUAAAAUAAAAUUAAAAGCCUUUACGUAAUCAAAAAAUGUUAAAAUAUACGAGUAGUGGUCUUUAUUUGUAAAUACUUUUUUCUUACAAAAACUUAGAUGGGGUUUACUUUCUAUUAACAAUUUGAAUAAUAUAAUUUGGCAGGUUCUCUUAAGAGAGUUUUUUUUUUUCACUGCAAUAGUAUCAACACAAAGAACUUGAUUAAUAUGUAAGGUUAGUUUUCACGUUGCUCCACAUUAUUCAGAUUUAAUUAUUACUAGGAAACAAGAGAUAUGUUUUGUACUAACAGUUGAAAAUAAAAAUAAAUAAUAAAUAAAAGAUUUAUACUGGGA